GACGAACCGUGCGAACGUUGUUCGGAAUCACUGGGCUUAAAGGGCGCGUAGGCGGGCGGUCAAGUCUAUGGUGAAAUCCAACAGCUUAACUGUUGAACUGCCACGGAUACUGAUUGUCUCGAGGAAGGUAGGGGCGUGCGGAACAAAUGGUGGAGCGGUGAAAUGCAUUGAUAUCAUUUGGAACUCCGGUGGCGAAGGCGGCACGCUGGACCUUUUCUGACGCUGAGGCGCGAAAGCCAGGGGAGCAAACGGGAUUAGAUACCCCGGUAGUCCUGGCCCUAAACGUUGGGUACUAGAUAGUAGUCUAGCAUGGGAUUACUGUCGAAGCUAAAGUGCUAAGUACCCCGCCUGGGGAGUAUGGUCGCAAGGCUGAA
rnacentral:rRNA from 1 species